GGAACGGUUAUGUUUUGGGUGACCGGCGUGGCCCCUUUGUUGAGGCCUCUAGGAUACAAAGCCCCCACCUAAAGACUCGACCCCCCCCUCGGGAGGGAGGCAGGGCCCGGGGGCGGGAGCACAGCGGGGCCCCAGCCUCAGGCGCGUCACUGAGCACAAAGGAGACAGCAGGGAGGCGGCGGCGGGCGCUGAUCCUCGCUCGCCAGCCACUCGCGAUUGCGGUUACAGACCUGCAGCGCCCCCUCCCCCGCCCGCCGGCCUUUCUGUCUCCUCUCUCCCUCCGUACUGGACGGUCCCGCUGCAUUUCCGGGCUCCGGAUAUUUGGUGUCGAUUGGGGCUGGGGGCGCGGAGCAGGUGGCCGCGGCGGGGCGGCGGGGCCGCCAGCCGGGUGCGUCGGGGUCCGUCUCCCGCUGCUUUGGUCACCAGCCCCCGCCCGCCCGCGCGCCCCGCUCCGUUCUCCGGCCUCCGAGCGCUUCCCGCCGGACUUUGCGCCGCGUCGGGCGCUACUGCUGCGCUCGGGGCCCCGCUCGGCGCCGGCGUGAAAGGCGCGACCGGGACCCCGGCCCAAUAUGGCUGAAGUCAGCAUCGACCAGUCGAAGCUGCCUGGAGUCAAGGAAGUAUGCCGAGAUUUUGCUGUCCUGGAGGACCACACCCUGGCUCACAGCCUGCAGGAACAAGAGAUUGAGCAUCAUUUGGCAUCAAACGUUCAGCGGAACCGUUUGGUCCAGCAUGACCUCCAGGUGGCUAAGCAGCUCCAAGAGGAAGAUCUGAAAGCCCAGGCUCAGCUCCAGAAGCACUACAAAGACCUUGAACAACAAGACUGUGAAAUUGCUCAGGAAAUUCAGGAGAAGCUGGCUAUUGAGGCAGAGAGACGACGCAUUCAGGAGAAGAAGGAUGAGGACAUAGCUCGUCUUUUGCAAGAAAAGGAAUUACAGGAAGAUAAAAAGCGAAAGAAGCACUUUCCAGAGUUUCCUGCAACCCAUGCUUAUGCAGAUAAUUACUGUUACGAAGAUGGAGACCAAUCAAGGUCAAGGAGGGCCAGGGAAUUGGGUUCUGGAUUCUCAAGACCUUGUAGACUCCAAAGAGAUGGAAAGACUGUGAAGCAGAAGAAGGAGAAACCAGAACAUCCACUGGAGAACUUGGAAGAGCCAGAACAGCAUUGUUCAUCAGAGAGAUCCCUGUCAUCCUCUAGCUGGGGCACAAUGAGGGACAAUCCCCAAAUUAACAGUAAGCAGCAUGAAAGGAAACGAUCCACUCAGAAGAGGCUCCAGAGACCUCCACUUCCCACAAUCAGUGGUGAAGUGUUUCUGAGCACUGAAUAUGAUGACUUGGAGGCUAAGAGUAACCAUCAGACUCGAAAUUGGGAAAAACAUUCUCAACACCAAGACCGACUUUCACCCAAGCCCUCACAAAAAACAGGGCUUCACUGCAAGGAAAUUGUAUAUGGGAGGGACCAUGGGCAAGGUGAGCACAGAAAAAGGAGCCACAGGCCCAGGACUCCUCCAUUCUCAGAGCGUGAGAAGCAGCUCCACCUCCACGACCCAGGAAUGAAGCCAAGAACAACAAAAGAAGCUAUAUCUACUGAAUCACGAGUGACCCACAGGGAUCAGGAAUGGUAUGAUGCUGAAAUUGCCAGAAAACUACAAGAAGAAGAACUUCUGGCUACCCAGGUGGACAUGAGAGCCGCUCAAGUAGCUCAAGAUGAAGAAAUCGCUCGACUUCUUAUGGCUGAAGAAAAGAAAGCUUAUAAAAAAGCCAAGGAGCGGGAGAAAUCAUCUUUGGACAAAAGAAAGCAAGACCCUGAGUGGAAGCCAAAAACAGCUAAAGCAGCACACUCAAAGUCAAAAGAGAGUGAUGAAUCUCAUCGUUCUAAGAAUGAAAGGCCAGCACGGCCACCACCACCUAUCAUGACAGAUGGUGAAGAUUUGGAUUACACUCAUUUUACAAACCAGCAGAGUUCCACACGGCAUUUCCCAAAAUCAGAGUCCUCUCAUAAAGCAGAGGGCACCCGGAGAUGGCAAGACGGCAUUAACCUUGAGGCACUCUGAGACAGAAUCUACCGGAUUGGCAGAAUGUAAAGACCAAGACACUAGUUCACUUGCAACUUUAUGAAGAGAAGAGGUCACUUUCUCUUGAAGAACUUAAACCCUGAGUAUACCAUUUUUGUUUGAGAAUACUGAUGACCACAUUUCCCAGCUUUCUGAUGAUUCUGACUGCUUGGUACUGACUCUUGUUGAACAUCUGUGGGAUCAAGCCUGAGGCUCCACCUCCAUGAGCAUAAAAUACCUAAAUUACCCAUGAAACUUUUAUGAACAAGGCAAUUUUUGAAGCUGAAAAGCAUAAAAUAAUGUCAGAGCUCUCAAAGUGAAGAAGAUAAAAUCAUUCUUCAUCUUUACCUCCUUCCCCCCACCCUACCUGCCACCCUUUUGGCCUACUGUUUAGUGGAAAGCUCUCUUAUAAAAUUACCCUCCUCUAACUUCCUUGUCUCGGAGUGAUUGACAUCUGGACAAUUUUGUUUUGCCUUGGGUAACUUCAGAGAAUACAUUUUUGCUCACUGGAUUCAGUAUUGUGUCUGUACUCUUUUUUGGUUUCAAAGGGUGAGACACUGUCUUUGGCUUUCUCUGAAUCUUCUCUUCAUCCUUAUUUUGUGUUUAUUGUAGAAGAUGCCAAAGCAUCGGACUAGCGUACAUUUGGAAAUCAUUUCUAGUGUAAGUCAGAGUCCUGAUGGGAACAUGGAAACCAUAUUAGGAAUUUAAAAUAGAGUCGAUUUGCUUUGGGAUAUUAUGACACAGAUACUGAUGAGCUGAAAGAGCAGAAAGGUAAUACUGGUGACCUAGAAUAGUAGGUACAGGAAGAGCCUGGGAUAAAGAAGAAACAGUGGAGACAAAGGAACUAUGUGGCUGGUUUAGCAAAUACAGAAAGAAGUUGCAGGCUUGACCAAGGGAAGCACAGCUCCAAAGGAAAGAAGCAAGGCAGGAAGAAGCUCCUUGUCCCUCUCCCCCCAUCUCCCACUGUUACUCUGUUAUGCUGCCUGCUGGCAGAAAUUCAGUUCCCAAACUGGGAAUCAUAGUUUGCUGUGUUUUGAGCCCCAGCAUCACGGAGUAUAGAAUGAGUUUAGAGGUAAGAGAAACUGGAUAAUAAAUCAGCACAAUUUCAACAAUUUUUGACACAAAGAAUAUAAUUUCUUAGUAUACUUUCUAUUUAUACACUAUCAGUGCAGUUUCCUGCAAUUAAAUAUAUAUAUAAUAAAGUUUCAUCAAAUGGCACUUUAAUAAUUUGUAACUCAAUGCAUUUUUAUUCUAUAAUUUAUUAGUUUCCAUUUGUUUAUCUUUGGUAGAGACUAUUUUAAAUUAGCAUUUGAUAAUUAGUAAAUGGGAUUUUCACCUUCUGUGCUGAUGUUAGAACUGAAUCUCCACAUAAGUUGCAACUACAAACCAUCUAAUAAUCUAGCAAACAUAUUAAAUCAAUUUAAAAAGAACCAAGUAUGUAACAAAUUAUUUUCCUCUAAAGAGAAAAUAAUUUGAGAACGUAUAAAGCAGAAUUUUUAGAGAAGGAAUUUAGAGCUCAUGUAACCAAUGAAUCUUGUUUCUAAAGUUACUUCCACUUAAUAGUCAAUUCUUUCUUUACAAAUCUGUAAAGGGCUGGACUGAGACAGUAUUGAAAAAAUACAUUUAAAUAAAUUUAGAGAUAAAA